UAGCAGCGGGAGGCGAGCAUGUUGUCAUCUUCCAGUGCAGCCAAGGAUUGCAGGUUUCGGUGGUGCUGGUUCCAAUUCAGGUCGCGGCUGCGUUCCCUGUUGCUGGGCUCUGAAUUGAAAUCAGCGCCCUUGAAACUUUGCGAUCCACACGGGGAAAAUCCAUCGGUGCUAUUUUCUCUCGAUGUCUUUGCACUGGAACAAAUACGUUACAACGCGUGAGGCAAGACGUUCGUCGUGGAUCAAUCAGGUACUAGGUUUUUUUAUUUGGCGCUCAAAGCGUUAACUAUAGUGGCAAAAAGUACUAUGUUUACAUCUUUUACAAGCAGUGUUAGCUGGCCUGAAAUCUUCGCUCCUAAUA